rnacentral:rRNA from 1 species
UAGUGUGGCCAAACCUCCUUGCCAAAACCUGAUCUUGUUUGAUUUCUGGAGCUAAGCAGGGUUGGGCAUGGUUAGUGUUUGGAUAGGAGACCACUGGGAAUACUGGCGAAUACUGG